CUCCAGUUUACCUCCUGCUCUUAGAGACCCUCUUCGACAUCUAAAUCAAGGUUUAUCUGCCCACUUCACAUUACCUCCCCUCCUUCAAAAACCAGAACAAGAACACGAACUCACAUCAACAGGAACGCAGUGCAAGCUGUUAAGCAG